rnacentral:misc_RNA from 1 species
CCAAUAGCGUAUAUUAAAGUUGUUGCAGUUAAAAAGCUCGUAGUUGAAUUUCGGGAUCAAUAUAUCGGUCGUGCCAUUGGUACGUACUGGUAUCAUUGGUUUCUCCUUUCUGACGAACCAUGAUGUCAUUAAUUUGGUGUUAUGGGAAGUUAGGACUGUUACUUUGAAAAAAUUAGAGUGUUUAAAGCAGGCUUUAGCUUGAAUACAUUAGCAUGGAAUAAUGAAAUAGGACGUUCGAACCUAUUUGUUGGUUUCUAGGAUCAACGUAAUGAUUAAUAGGGAUAGUUGGGGGCAUUAGUAUUCAAUUGUCAGAGGUGAAAUUCUUGGAUUUAUUGAAGACUAACUACUGCGAAAGCAUUUGCCAAGGAUGUUUUCAUUAAUCAAGAACGAAAGUUAGGGGAUCGAAGACGAUCAGAUACCGUCGUAGUCUUAACCAUAAACUAUGCCGACUAGGGAUCGGAUGAUGUUAAUUUUUUAAUGACUCAUUCGGCGCCUUACG